GACGAACGCUGGCGGCGUGCUUAACACAUGCAAGUCGAACGGAAAGGCCCUGCUUUUGUGGGGUGCUCGAGUGGCGAACGGGUGAGUAACACGUGAGUAACCUGCCCUUGACUUUGGGAUAACUUUAGGAAACUGGGGCUAAUACCGGAUAGGAGCUCCUGCUGCAUGGUGGGGGUUGGAAAGUUUCGGCGGUUGGGGAUGGACUUGCGGCUUAUCAGCUUGUUGGUGGGGUAGUGGCUUACCAAGGCUUUGACGGGUAGCCGGCCUGAGAAGGUGACCAGCCUCAUUAGGACUAAGAUACGGCGCAGACUCCUACAUGAGGCAGCAGUGGGGAGUCUUGCACAGUGGGCGGAAGCCUGAUGCAGCAGCGCCGCGUGCGGAAUAUCGGCCUUCGGGUUGUAAACCGCUUUCGACUGUGACGAAGCGUGCGUGACGGUAAUGGAUAAAGAAGCACCGGCUAACUACGUG
rnacentral:rRNA from 1 species